AUUGAACGCUGGCGGCAGGCCUAACACAUGCAAGUCGAACGGUAGCACAGAGAGCUUGCUCUCGGGUGACGAGUGGCGGACGGGUGAGUAAUGUCUGGGAAACUGCCCGAUGGAGGGGGAUAACUACUGGAAACGGUAGCUAAUACCGCAUAAUGUCGCAAGACCAAAGAGGGGGACCUUCGGGCCUCUUGCCAUCGGAUGUGCCCAGAUGGGAUUAGCUUGUUGGUGAGGUAAUGGCUCACCAAGGCGACGAUCCCUAGCUGGUCUGAGAGGAUGACCAGCCCCACUGGAACUGAGACGCGGUCCAGACUCCGACGGGAGGCAGCAGUGGGGAAGAUUGCACAAUGGGCGGAAGCCUGAUGCAGCCAUGCCGGGUGUGUGAAGAAGGCCUUCGGGUGGUAAAGCACUUUCAGCGGGGAGGAAGGCAAUGCGGUUAAAAACCGUGUUGAUUGACGUUACCCGCAGAAGAAGCACCGGCUAACUCCGU
rnacentral:rRNA from 1 species